GGUCAGUAGUAGUAAGGUGUCAAUGAAUACAUGCCCCUAAGUUUAAGAGUACUCUUCUAAGACUAGAAGACUGAUGAUGCUUUCUCUUUUCUAUUUCGUCUUCAGAUUCAAUAUGCCCGACGAUUCAAAUUGUAGCCAUGAGGUUAGGGAGAAGAGUCAUGCUUCUCCGAUGGAUGAUACGGGAGAUGAGUUUGUCCCAAAAAUUGACGACUUUGACAUUCCAAUGGUUCCGGACGUGGAUGGGUAGCUUACUUCCAGAAUCUUAAUUUUUCUCUACAUCGUAUCCUUCGAGCAAUUUCGAGGGUUCAGCCUACCCCACCAGCUUCACCACCAUUUGUUGUUCCGCAGGAGACUCCGAUAGAGAGAUUUCAUAGAUGUAAGGCGGAGGACUUUUAUAGCACCAGCGAGGAUGACCCGAUAGUUGUUGGUUAGUGGUUGAGGGACACACUAAGGACUUUGAGGCCACUCCAUUUUACCCCUGAGGGUAACUUAGAGUGAUGCAUGUGAUUUGUGGGAGACGGUCGAGAUGGCUUUACAGCCAGAGCAGCCAACGUGGGAUCAAUUGUUGUCCGAGCUGAGGGAAGCACAUUGGUCAGGCACAUAUGGAUGACUUGAAGAUGCAGUUUUCACAGCUAGUCCAGGGCAACCGAUUAGUGUAUGAGUACGAUAGGGACUUUCUGUGAUUGAGUCACUUCGCAGUGGCUUCUGAGAGUCUUAGAUGCAAGAGAUUUCGUGAGGGGCUGCACAUUGAUAUUCACAGUUAUUUGGCAGCAGACCUGCUCGAGGGAUUUUUAGAAUUGGUACGACAAGCUAAAGCUGUAGAGAAGGUUCUAAGUAUGAGAUUGAGCUCGACAGAUGAGUCUAGUAUCCAGAGUAAGAGGGCUUCUAACACUCCGAGUCUGUCUCAGAUAGCAACCAAGAGGAUUCGUGAUUCUAGAGGAUUCAAGAGAGCUCCAUCGACACAGUUUCACAGGUCAGGUCAAGGGUCAAGACUAGGGGCUCGUAGGAGACCAUUAGCUUCCUCGUCGCUAGCGAGUUUAGGAGGGCCAGUCAGGACCCUGAUUUUUCUAGUUUGUAAUUUUUGUGGUCGGAGACAUCUCGGGGAGUGUUAUCGGAGGACUAGAGCCUGUUUUCAGUAUGGGUCCACCAAGCAUUUUGUCAGAGAUUGCCUUAGAGUUAGCAAUGCUUCGCCUGCUCAGACUUAGAGAUCAACACCUUCUUUUGAACGUGGUAGAGGGUCAACUCAUGGUGGUGAUAAUGUACCUUCAGGCCAGCAGAGUAGAGGCACGGUCAAAUCCGCAAUAGUAUCUGAUAUUCGAGUUCCAUUUAGGCAGUGUGAAUUGACUUCUGAUUCAGAAUUUCAGAUUAGACCUAAUGACUGCCUAUUAUUCAGAGGCAGGGUUUGUGUUCCAAAGAAUUCGGAGCUUGUACAGAAGAUUUUGAACGAAGCUCACAGUGGUACUAUGUUUGUGCAUGCAGGGAGUAAUAAAAUGUAUAAUGAUCUGAAACAGAUGUACUGGUGGCUGGGAAUGAAACAUGACAUUUCUGACUUUGUAUUUAGAUGUUUGGUAUGUCAACAAGUUAAAGCUGAACAUCAGGUUCCUUCAACAUUAUGACAACCAGUCACGAUAUCAGAAUGAAAAUGGUAAAGAAUUACUAUGGACUUUGUAUCGGGAUUGCCUCUAUCUCUGAGAAAGAAAGAUGCCAUUUAGGUAAUCGUUGAUCGUUUGACAAAGUCUACACACUUUAUUUCGGUACGUAUGAAUUUUCCCUGGAUAGAUUAACAAAACUAUAUGCUUCUGAGAUUGUCAGAUUACAUGGUGUGCUAGUUUUUAGUAUUUUUGAUAGAGAUCCUCGAUUUACAUCCGAUUCUAGAGCAAGUUACAAGAAGCUCUGGGUUCACGGUUGCAUAUUACUACCGCAUUUCAUCCGCAGACAGAUGGUCAAUCCAAAUGCAUAAUCCAAAUUCUUGAAGAUAUGCUUCGGUGUUGUGUACUAGAAUUCGAAGGCAAUUGGGAAAAAUAUCUACCGUUAGUUGAAUUCGCAUAUAAUAACAGUUAUCAGUCAAGUAAUAAAAUAGUACCGUAUGAAGCUUUGUAUGGUCGUAAAUGUAGAACUCCGUUGUAUUGGACUGAGCUCAAUGAGAAAAAGAUACAUGGAAUUGAUCAAAUCCGUGAGACUGAAGAAAAAGUGAAAGUGAUCAGAGACAGUUUGAAAGCAGCUUCUAAGUGUCAGAAAUCCUAUGUGAAUUUAAAACUUAAAGAAAUAGAGUUCCAAGUUGGUGACAAAGUAUUUCUGAAAGUUUCACCUUUGAAGAAAGUUUUCGGUUUGGCCAUAAAGGAAAAUUUAGUCCACGAUUUAUCAGGCCAUAUGAGAUCAUUGAAAGAAUCAGACCUGUUGCAUACUGAUUGGCAUUACCACCAGAACUUGACAGAAUUCAUAAUUUUUUUCAUGUGUCCAUGUUAUGGCGAUAUCAGUCAGAUCCUUCACAUAUUAUCUCUCCGACAGAGGUUGAGAUUCAGCCUGAUAUGACUUACAACGAGGAACCAGUUAGAAUUUUGGACGUGAGACUAAGGAAUUAAGAAAUAAAAAGAUAACUCUAGUAAAAGUUCUUUGGCAACGACACGGUAUAGAAGAAGCUACCUGGGAACUGGAGGAAACUAUGAGAAAGCAAUAGUUGAACCUCUUUACUGGUAAUAUUUUCAAGGACGAAAAUUCUUAAGGGGGAGAGUUGUAACAGCCCGUUUUCAAUGAAAUCAGAACAGUGUUUCGGGACCACAAAUCCGAGUCCGAAAGAAAAUUUAUUUUAAUAUUAUUUUAUGAUCUACAUUAUGAUUGAAAUAUUUCAUGAAAAUUUUGUAAAUAAAUUUUACUGAUUUUAUAUCUAAUCCGAUAAAAAGGACCAAAUUGAAUAAAAUACAAAAGUUGAGUUCUACUAGCUAAAAGUAUCAAAUAGCUAUGGAAUUCAAAAUUUGAGGUCCUUAUAUGGAAAUUAGACCAUUAAGUGGAGUUAGUAGAUAAGUAUGAUGAUUCAUCCAUGGAAAUUUAAUUAAAGAAUAAGAUAAAAUUGGAAAAUAAAAGAUGAAAAGAUGAUAAAUUAAUAAAAUAAGAAAAUAUCAUCAUUUUCAUCAUCUUUCCCAAAACUAAAUCCAUGGAAACCCUAGCUAAGAGAAAAGAGCUCAAGCAAGCUUAUUUUGCUUAAUUGGGUAAGUAUUAUUAUCCCAUUUUUAGUAAUUUUCAUAUUUUCGUUAUCGUAAUAGUUUAAUCUAGCUAUUUCGGGGAUUAAUUUGUAAAGUUAUCAAAGUACUAGGGUUUUUCCAUUGAUGAGUAUGCAUGAAUUAUGAAAUUUAUGGUAGAAAAUGAAAGGUUGUUGAUAGGUAAACAACUUUUGUAAAGUGAAUUUUGAUAAAAUUAUGAUUUAGGGACUAAAUUGAAAAGAUGUAAAAUUCAUAGAAAAAAUAUGAUUUUUGUAAAAUACACGGGCUGUAAAUGUUAUAUGUAAAAAUUAGCUAGGCUUGGAAUAAUGAUUAAAUUGCAUGAAUUUUAUUUUCCAAGCCUAGGGACGAAAUUGUAACUAAUCAAAAGUAUUGGGGCAAAAUGGUAAUUUUGCCUAAGAUGUGAAUUGGAUGGAAUUGAAUGUGAAUUUUAUUAAAUUGAGUUAAAUUUACUCGUAUAGAUCCGAAUAGACCUAGUUCGAAAUUGGAUCGGGGAAAACAAAAAACAUCGUAAUAGUAGUCUAGGAACACGAACAUUGUCGAGGUAAGUUCGUGUAACUAAAUUGAGAAUAUAUAUGUGUUAAUUGAAUUGUUUGUAUGUGAUUGUAUUAUUUUCAUAUAUAUAUGAAAUUGAUUACAUGUCCGAAAAAGCCCGAUAAAUGUUAAGUCUCGUUUGAAUAAAUGAAAUUCAAUAGAUACAGGAUUUCCCGUAUUGGUUGUGGUCCUGCAUAUGUUGCGGACACAUCACAGCUCGAAAGAGCAUCCCAUUAUUAGCUCUCUCGAGCUUCCUGUUAUAUGGUUCCUGCGAGAUUUCCGAUAAUAGGUCUUCAGAGCAUCCCGAUCGGUUGUGAUCCUACAUGUGUUGCAGACACACCGCAGCUCUUAUGAACAUCCCGUUAUAUGGCUCUUUGUGAGCUUCUUGAUUAAAGGCUCUUUGUGAGCUUCUCGAUUAAAGGCUUUUUGUGAGCUUCCCAAUAUUGGCUUGGAAAUGACCUUAUUUUGUCCACACGGGUAGAGACACGGGCGUGUGUCUCAGUCGUGUGUGACGCACGGCCUAACACAUUGGAGUGUGUUUCGGUCGUGUGUCCCCUGUAUCUUUAAAAUUUCAAAACAGAGUGCUCAGGUAUUUUCACACGGGUAGAGACACGGGUGUGUCUCAGCCGUGUAUGGCACACGGCCUGGCACAUGAGCUUGUGACUUGGCCGUGUGAACUUUGCACCUUAAUUAUGCAAGUCAGUAUGUUCACACAGCCUAGCACAUGGCCGUGUGGCUUGCCCGUGUGACCCAAGUCAGUAACCACCCUAAUUUGGACUCGGGCUGGGACACAGCCGUGUGUCCCUACUUCGAAUACCCACACGAACUGAGACACGAACGUGUCUCUUGACUGUGUGAGACACACGACCUAGCCAUACCGGCGUGUGUCCCCUGCACCUUGGAAAAUUUUUGAAAUUUUGUGAAAAAUUCUCUGAGUUUCCAAAUUAGUCCCGACUUAAUUCUAAUGCGCAUUUUGGGCGUCGAGGGAUCUUAUAAGGGACUUUGGGAUUGAAUUUUGUUAUGAACACUGUAUGUUGUGAAAUAUCUGAUAUCUGUUCUUUGAUCUCUGGUAAUGCUCUGUAACCCUGUUUUGGCAACAAAUUCGGGUUAGGGGUGUUACAUCCACUUACACCUUAUGGGUUUAAUCCCAAUUGGUAAGUCUUCAAGUUCCCACAUUGUAUUGGAUUUCACAGAAUCCAUCUCGGUAUCCAUGGCCUCUUUCCAGAGCUUGGAAUCAACGUCCUGUAGAGCCUCCUCAUAAGUGAGUGGAUCAUCAUCCUCAUGAUUAACUUUCGUAUUAUAAAUACUACCAUCAUAGAUGAAGAAGUCUAAUUUCUUAGAAACUCUCUCACUAGGAUGGAUUCCCUUAUGCUGUUGAUCAUUUAUAGGUCUUUCUACAACUUUCUCGAGAAAUGAACUUGGUGAUUGUUUUAUUACUCCUAAAAGUUCCUUGAGUACCACUUUACUUCGAGGCUUAAAGUUAUCCAUAUAGCUUUUCUCGAGGAAAGUCGUAUGAGUAGAAACUUUAAUCGUAUUAUCUUUUGGAUUGUAGGAUAAUCCUACUUUUGUUCCUUUUGGAUAUCCUACAAACAUGCACAAUUCUGUCUGUGCAUCCAUCUUCUUUGCAUCCUUAUCUAGAACAUGUGCUGGACAACCCCAUAUUCUAAAUUGACAUAGAACGGGUUUCUUUCCAUGCCAUAGUUCAUAAGGUGUCUUACAAAAAGACUUGGUUGGCACAUCAUUUAGAAUAUAGCAAACCGUUUGUAUCGCAUAUCCCCGAAAGGAAGUAGGAAAUUGUGAAUAGCUUAACAUUGAAUAAACCAUGUUAAGCAAGGUUCUAUUCCUUCUUUCUACUGUGGAGUUCCCGGUGUAGUCAAUUGGGAUUAAAUCCCAUUCUCUAUGAGGUAUCCUAAGAACUUAUCAGACAAAUAUUCCCCACCUCGGUCAAACUAUGAUUCUUCAUAGGCAAACUUGCUUUUCCAUCAAACUCUCAAAAUUUAUCAAAGGUUUCUCUUUUGUAGUGAAUUAGAUACACUAUCAUUAUCGAGAAUAGUUGUCGAUAAAAGUCACAUAAUAAUCGUAACUUCCUCGAGCACUGAUACUCAUGGGACCACAUACAUCAGUGUGCACAAGUUCUAAAGGUUGGUUUGCCCUCGUACCUUUCACAUUAAAAGACCUCUUAAUCAUUUUGCCUUCCAAGCAAGAUUCACAUUGUGGAAGACCGACUUCCUUAAGCAUACUUAAGUGACCAUCUUUCGCGUGUCUAGUGAUUCUUUCUUAGUUAAUAUGACCAAGUCUUAAAUGUCAUAGGUACCUUACAUUAGAGUGAGAAGUUUUAAGUUUUUUAUUCACCAUUUCAGUUUGAAACAUCGAGUAGUUAUUUGGUUUGAUAAAGUAGAGAUUGUUUUUCAUCUAUCCAUUACAGAUUAAAGAACGAUUUUUGUGAAUAACAAUCCCUUUAUUAAAUGUCAUGGUAUAACUGUCAUAAAAUAAACAUGCUACAAAAAUUAAAUUCCUCUUAAAAUGAGGUGCAUAAAAAACAUUCUUUAAAAUAAUCUCCCUAAAUUAUCAAAAUUUAAAAUAAAUUCUCCCAUUGUUUUGGCUGAAACAUAGCUCCCAUCCUCGAUCCUCAAUGAGAGGCUCCUAUCACGUAGACUUCUCGUUUUGUUGAACCUCUGUAAAGAAACACAAACAUGGUUAGUGGCUCCAGAAUCAAUAACCUAGUUGUUAAUUGAUUCUUCCACUUAUCAAGCUUCAACCACAAAGAGUUCCUUAUAUUUUCCCUUUUCGGUUAGGUAAUCCAAAUACUCCUUGCAGUUAGAUUUGAAAUACCAUUUUCUAUUGCAGAACAAAAAUUUGAUCUUUGUAGGAUUUUUGUAAGAUCUUAGCCUUUUUCCUAUCUACACAAGGUGGAACCAAAGACUUAAUCAGUUUCUUCUUUCCCUUAGUUUUUUGUUUCCCUUGAGGGGACAAGGGGCCCAAAGCUAAGUUUGCCUCAAGUUUCUCCUAAAUCGGCUUACCACCAUUCAUCAUCAACUCAUAGGAUUUUAAUUCCUUUAUGAGAUGAGUCAAGGUAACCUCCUUGUUCCCCAAGUUGUAAACGUCCCUAAAACCAGUAAAAUCCUUGGUUAAUAAUUUGAAUACUAUUUCAAUUAGAGUGUUCACGUCUAGUUCAACCCUAUUGUUCUCCACUUCUGUAAAUAAUCCCAUAAGCUUAAGCAUAUGUUUUUUGAUCGGAGUGUCGGGUUUCUACUGAGAAUUCAUCAAAUUUGUAAUAGUCGAGUAAAUCCUCCAAAUUUUUCAUGAUCUCUUUGGUAGUACAAAAAUUCUCGUGUUUCUUUUGUAACACACUACUCAUGCUCCCUAAUAUAUAACAUCGAGUAAUCGAGUCAGAAUCUCUCCAGCGAUUUCUCACUUUGGGCUGAGUUUCUGGAGGGAACGUUUCGUCAAGAACGAAUUUGUGUUUUUCACAACUAAGAACUAUCAGUAAGUUCCAUUUCCAUUUUUUAAAGUUAUCCCUAUUUAAUUUAUUCUUAGUAAGAAUUCUACUAAGAGGAGUAGGAGACAUAUUUAACUGAAAAAAAUAAAGAUGUCAAUAAUUACUAUAUUUAUAUUAAGCAAAUAUUUUUCAUUUUAGCAACAUAUCAAGAAUGCAGUAUGAUGCAUGCGUCUUGUAUUAAAACCUUGAAAAAAAAA
rnacentral:lncRNA from 1 species